rnacentral:lncRNA from 1 species
UUGCUUCAACCCCUUGGUGAAAUUUAAAUGGCGAGACGAUAAUUAAUAAACUAUCUAUCUAUCUAUCGACAUGCGCCGUUAUUUGGGAUUUUAGAAUACGUCACGGAUGACCGAUGAUCAUAUUCAAUACCAAUCAUCAUUUGAAUUUUGUCAAUUGAUCUUUAAUGAUUUGGACUGAUUGGUGAUGGCAGAGAAUGUGUCUUUGUUGAAAAAAAAUAUAAAAUUAUAUGAAUAUGCUAAAUAAAUUUUUCUUUGGUAUGUAAUAAUUGAAGAAGUUAUAUCAUUUAAAAACGUUUAGAAAUAUAGAUCUUUUUCGAUGUACAAUUUGGCCCGCUUGGAGAUCUUAAUAAUUGUUUGUCUACUUUCGUCUAUUUAUAUUGCUGAAAUUCUUUAAUCAAGGAUUUGUACAAGCCCUUGCUAUAAUAUAAUGAAUCUCGUCGCCAAUAUCACACCAUAAUAACUUAAAGAACAGAUACAAUCUUAUCCUAAAUAGUUUGCCAUCUAACAAUUCAAAAAGAAAUUUUGAGUCGAAACUGAAGUACCAAAUCUUUAAAAAGAAUCACCUUUUUGGAACAGUAUAGACGUUGAAAAUUAAACUGUAUAUAUAUAUUCUUUUUUCAAAACUCCUGAAAUAACUUAAAAUUAUCUUUAGACAGCUUUCAUAUGCAAAUCUUUUUAGAAGUAUGUGAGCGUAUUUACCCCCCCCCCCUUUUUCCUUCUAUAAUAAACUAUUGAAUGAAUCUGAAUCUAUAAAAUUUAUUUGUAAACGAUUUUGUGUCUUAAUUUGUGUUUGCUAAUUAAUUGCGGUCCAUGCUGUCAAAAGUCAAAAAUGUCUCCUUGUGUAUAAGUUAUCGAUAAAAAAACUAUUUGAAGCCGCCAGAAGAAUAAAUCAUUUCCUGAACUUAAAUACAUUUAUCUGUAAAUAAAGACAAUUUGCCUAAAACAUUCUCGCAUAUAUUUAAACAAUUGUAAAAUAAUUAAUUCAACGACUUUCUUUUCCUUUUUCCUUUUCUUCUUCAGUUUUUUUUUUUUUAUACCCAUUGCUUUUUUUUUUUAUCCUAUUUUAUGUAUAACAUGUUAGCAGUUGAACGGAAUUAAGUACAUUUUUUCAGGAAUUUACAACGUAAAUUUUCAACAACAAAAUUCCACACUUUUUUACUUGAAUUUUUUUUUCUGUUUUGAAGGCGCCACCAGUGACCCCGUAGCACGGCUUAUUCUCAUUUCGCCUUAGCUGUCAAAAUCUUUAUAUAUAAUUAAUUCCAUUUUGCCUUAGUACAAAUUUUCAGGUAUUAAAAGAUAAU